GACGAACGCUGGCGGCGUGCUUAACACAUGCAAGUCGAACGGAAAGGCCCUGCUUUUGUGGGGUGCUCGAGUGGCGAACGGGUGAGUAACACGUGAGUAACCUGCCCUUGACUUUGGGAUAACUUCAGGAAACUGGGGCUAAUACCGGAUAGGAGCUCCUGCUGCAUGGUGGGGGUUGGAAAGUUUCGGCGGUUGGGGAUGGACUCGCGGCUUAUCAGCUUGUUGGUGGGGUAGUGGCUUACCAAGGCUUUGACGGGUAGCCGGCCUGAGAGGGUGACCGGCCACAUUGGGACUGAGAUACGGCCCAGACGCCUACGGGAGGCAGCAGUGGGGAAUAUGGCACAAUGGGCGGAAGCCUGAUGCAGCAACGCCGCGUGCGGGAGGACGGCCUUCGGGUUGGAAACCGCUUUCGCCUGUGACGAAGCGUGAGGGACGGUAAUGGGUAAAGAAGCACCGGCUAACUACGU
rnacentral:rRNA from 1 species